rnacentral:rRNA from 1 species
GACGAACGCUGGCGGCGUGCCUAAUACAUGCAAGUAGAACGCUGAAGAGAGGAGCUUACUCUUCUUGGAUGAGUUGCGAACGGGUGAGUAACGCGUAGGUAACCUGCCUUGUAGCGGGGGAUAACUAUUGGAAACGAUAGCUAAUACCGCAUAACAAUGGAUGACACAUGUCAUUUAUUUGAAAGGGGCAAUUGCUCCACUACAAGAUGGACCUGCGUCGUAUUAGCUAGUAGGUGAGGUAAUGGCUCACCUAGGCGACGAUACAUAGCCGACCUGAGAGGGUGAUCGGCCACACUGGGACUGAGACACGGCCCAGACUCCUACGGGAGGCAGCAGUGGGGAAUCUUCGGCAAUGGGGGCAACCCUGACCGAGCAACGCCGCGUGAGUGAAGAAGGUUUUCGGAUCGUAAAGCUCUGUUGUAAGUCAAGAACGGGUGUGAGAGUGGAAAGUUCACACUGUGACGGUAGCUUACCAGAAAGGGACGGCUAACUGCGUG